rnacentral:rRNA from 1 species
UACAGAGGAUGCAAGCGUUAUCCGGAAUGAUUGGGCGUAAAGGGUCCGCAGGUGGCAGUGUAAGUCUGCUGUCAAAGAAUGAGGCUUAACCUCAUCAAGGCAGUGGAAACUACACAGCUAGAGUACGGUCGGGGUAGAAGGAAUUCCUGGUGUAGCGGUGAAAUGCGUAGAGAUCAGGAAGAACACCGGUGGCGAAAGCGUUCUGCUAGACCUGUACUGACACUGAGGGACGAAAGCUAGGGGAGCGAAUGGG